rnacentral:rRNA from 1 species
GACGAACGCUGGCGGCGUGCUUAACACAUGCAAGUCGAACGGUGACGAGGAGCUUGCUCCUCCGAUCAGUGGCGAACGGGUGAGUAACACGUGAGCAACCUGCCCCAGACUCUGGGAUAACAGUUGGAAACAGCUGCUAAUACCGGAUACGAGACGGAGAGGCAUCUCUACCGUCUGGAAAGUUUUUCGGCUGGGAUGGACUCGCGGCCUAUCAGCUAGUUGGUAAGGUAAUGGCUCACCAAGGCGACGACGGGUAGCCGGCCUGAGAGGGCGACCGGCCACACUGGGACUGAGACACGGCCCAGACUCCUACGGGAGGCAGCAGUGGGGAAUAUUGCACAAUGGGCGAAAGCCUGAUGCAGCGACGCCGCGUGAGGGAUGACGGCCU